rnacentral:lncRNA from 1 species
UUUUUUUUUUUUUUUUUUUUUAAAGAUUUUAUUUAUUCAUGAGAGAGAGGCAGAGACAUAGGCAGAGAAAUGCAGGAGCCUGAUGUGGGACUCCAUCCCAGGACUCCAAGACCAUGCUCUGGGCGGAAGGGAGGCACUAAACCGCUGAGCCAUCCAGGGAUUCCCAGCCUCACCUCUUUUAUUUAAACUGUGCACCCAGUCACACUAAGCUAUCUGCAGUUUUCCCAAAUGUACUUGUCCACUUCUCUGCUUUCGCUUUGACAAAGAGGCACAUAGAGGCACAUAAUCUUUACAAUAUUAGAUACUACCUUCUCAACUUAUUGCCUCUGGUAUAAACUUUGUUUCUUUAACCAAUACUUAUUUAAAGUCUAAUACUGCCAGGUAGAGCACUGGGGUUGGGUAAUAUAAAAAUCACUGAAAUCAUGUUCUCUGCCUUCAAGGAUCUCACCACACAAAAAAGGAUAAGUUGUGUUGUAAAUGCUAAUAAAGGAAGAGUAUUGAGAUGCUGAGUAGUGGAACCUUGCACCAUCCAGAUGAGUAUCUCAGACCAAGAGUCCAGUAAGUAUAAAAAAUGUGAACAAUCAAUAGAGAACAAUAAAAAAUUACAAGUUCAUGUGUUUUGAAGCAUAGUUCUAAAAUUCCGACCUCACCAUUUUAUAAACCUAUAAACAAACCUGCAUUGGUUAAUCUAACAUCAGUUAAGCAUGUAGAAUAAGUAGAAUAUAUCAAAGAACUUCAGCUGAGAGUUUCCACAAUAAACGUUAUGUCCAGUAUUUCUUUUUUUAAAAUAAUUUUUACCAUAAUUUUUAAAAAAGAUUUAUUUAUUUAUUCAUGAGAGACAGAGAGAGAGAGAGAGAGGCAGAGACACAGGCAGAGGGAGAAGCAGGCUCCAUGCAGGGAGCCCGACAUGGGACUCAAUCCUGGGACUCCAGGAUCACACCCUGGGCUAAAGGCAGUGUUAAACCCCUGAGCCACCCGGGCUGCCCUUACGUCUAGUAUUUCUUAAAUAUUACUGUAUUUAGUGUUUCCUUUUGCUUCAGGAAUCCCAUCGAAAUUCCCAAAAUUUUGAGAAAGAUGGAAGUCAGAAUAAAGGUAUGAAAUGUAAUAUUUAAAAUCCUUUUAAAACCUGCAAGCUGGAGCACCUGGGUGGCUCAGUGGGUUAAGCAUCUGUCUUUGGCUCAGGUCAUGAUGCCAGAUUCCUGGGAUGGAGUCCUGCCUUGGGCUCCCUGCUCAGUGGUGAGUCUGCUUCUUCCCUCUCCCUUUGCCCCUUCCCCCUGCUUGUAUGGGCUCACUCAUGCUCUCUCUCUCAAUAAAUAAAUAAAAUCUUAGCCCCCUCCAAAACCUUGCAAGCUAAGUGAACUUCAUUCUUUAUUAAGAAUACAAUAAAGGGUGUAAAAGUUGGUUUUAAAAAAGGAAAACUAUGUGCUUAUUUGCUUGUAUGUGUACAGAAUAUUUCUCAAGGGUAUCCAACAACUUGAAAUACGAUUGCCUUAGGAGAGAGGAAGAGACACAGGCAGAAAGAAAAGCAGGCUCCAUGCAGGGAGCCUGAUGUGGGUCUCGAUCCCAGGAUUCCAGGAUCAUGCCCUGGGCUGAAAGCAGGCGCUAAACCACUGAGCCACCCAGGCAUCCCUAAAAAUAUGUCUUGAUGAAUAUUCUAGCUUUUCAGUUAGAGAACUCAGUACCUUUAAGCAGUGUUAUUUAUAUAAAAUACAAAAAGAUUAGCAAUAAUUUAGCAUGUGAUUUUUUUUUUGUUAAGUGGAAUCAUAUACAUGCUGUUUGAAACAUCUUUUUUUUUAAACUUCUCUCUUUCAAUUUUGUCAUCUUACCGUAUUAGAAUAAAUAAAUCUACCUUAUUAUUUUUAAUAGCUUCAUAAUGUAUAGUAUGCAGGCAUUAUAAUUUAUUUGACCAUUCCUGUAUUGAUGAACAUUUUGGCAAUUUCCAGUGUUUUACAAACAAUGCUGCAGAGAAUUUCUCAAAUACAGCUAUAGACACUCAUGCCAGUGUUUCUGUAACGUGAACAUCUAGAAUUGAAGUUGUUGGGUCAAUGUAAAUGCAGGUUUAAAAUUGUAGUAAGUAAGUACUCUUCCCUUUUUUGACUUUUGUGUUUCUUUUCUUCUCUCUUCAUUUCCCCUCUUUAUUAUGCUUAGGCAGCUUUCACCAAUCCAGCAUUAUAAAUGUAUUCUCCCGGGUUUUCUUCUAGUUGUUUCAUCAUUCCAUUUUUUACAUUUAAAUCUUUAUUCCCCUAGAACUGAUUUUGGUGUAAAUGCUGAGGAUUAUUUGUAAGUAAUUGAGUUUUAUUUUUCUUCAAAUGGUGAACCAGUUUUUCUGUUUUAAUACUGUUUUUCCUGACUAAUAUGAAAUGCUAUUUUUCUUAUAUACUGAAUUUACAUUAAAAUGCAUUUUAAAAAUUAUUUUUCAAAGAUUUUAUUUAUUUGAGAGAGAGAGAGAACACGGACAUGAGCAGGGGAAGGCAGAGGGAGAGGGAGAAGCAGACUCCCAGCUGAGCAGGGAACCUGACGCUCCCAGGACCCUGGGAUUAUGACCUGAGCAGAAGGCAGACACUUAACUGACUGAGCCACCCAGGCACCUCUUACGAUGCAUUUUAAUGUCUUGGGAGGCCUAGGUCCCCUCAGUGUUCCUCCUUUUUACAGUUUUUCC